rnacentral:rRNA from 1 species
UACGUAGGCAGCGAGCGUUGUUCGGAGUUACUGGGCGUAAAGCGCACGUAGGCGGCUUUGUAAGUUAGAGGUGAAAGCCCAGGGCUUAACCCUGGAAUUGCCUUUAAGACUGCAUCGCUAGAAUCGUGGAGAGGUAAGUGGAAUUCCGAGUGUAGAGGUGAAAUUCGUAGAUAUUCGGAAGAACACCAGUGGCGAAGGCGACUUACUGGACACGUAUUGACGCUGAGGUGCGAAAGCGUGGGGAGCAAACAGG